AUAAACUAUUCGGAACCCAACGAAAAAUCUCAUCACUAUCAAACACAACUCACAAAAAAUGGAAAAUGAUCGAGUAAGAGGAGGAAGAAACCGAUAAAGAACUUCAUAUUUGCUGAAAGAUAACAGAAUAAAAUAAUGAGUGAGUUGAAAUUAGGGAAUUUCACCUCCUUCGGGGCAGCGAACUAGAGACGGACGAGCUAGCAAAGACGAGCUUCCACAACUUGAACAACAACCCCUUGCUUCUUAACUUGCUAUGCUUUCGUAGCUCGAUUAUUCUUCCCCCUUUAUAUGAAUAUAUCUUGCUAGGAAAUUCCAGCUAAAGUAUUAGUAAGAAAAAAAAU
rnacentral:misc_RNA from 1 species